CAGGCCUAACACAUGCAAGUCGAGCGAGAAAGGGGAAACCCCGGUAAAGCGGCGCACGGGUGAGUAACACGUAGGUAAUUUACCCCUUGGUGGUGGAUAACCUUCCGAAAGGAGGGCUAAUACAGCAUAAGACCACGUCUUCGCAAGGAGAUGAGGUCAAAGCCGGCCUCUUCACGAAAGCUGGCGCCGAGGGAUGAGCCUGCGGCCCAUCACGGUAGUUGGUAGGGUAAUGGCCUACCAAGCCUAAGACGGGUAGCUGGUCUGAGAGGAUGAUCAGCCACACUGGAACUGAGAUACGGUCCAGACUCCUACGGGAGGCAGCAGUGGGGAAUCUUGCGCAAUGGGCGAAAGCCUGACGCAGCGACGCCGCGUGAGUGAUGAAGGCCUUCGGGUCGUAAAGUUCUUUUAGUAGGGAAGAAAAAAAUGACGGUACCUACAGAAAAAGCCACGGCUAAUCACGUGCCAGCAGCCGCGGUAAU
rnacentral:rRNA from 1 species